CUCGAGAGGAAGAGACCUAGCAUCAGUUUUUCUUCUCUGAGCAACAUCAGUACCCAAUAAGUCAUGGCGACGUUUGAUUCUUCUUCAAUCAUCACCUCCUUCUGAUCUAAAGUUUCUAUUGCUACCGAUCUGUAAUUUGUCAGGUGAAGAAAGGGGUAAGGAAUAUUACAUUUUGAUUGAGCGAGUACUUUCAAGUGGAUCAUCAAUAGUGGGGCUGACUAUUCUUGGAAUACAAUGCAAUGAUGCUUACAUUUUGAAAUCAAUUGUCUACUGAUGGCUUCAAGUACUCAGGGGCCUUCUAUUCCUGUUAACAAUCCUGAUGAACAACUACCUCGGCUACCGUCGAGAACAUAGCUACAGCUACAAUGACAGCUACACCAUCCCAGGUUGAAGUUUCAAAACCUCCUAAAGCUUCUGGUAAGAAGCAAUCAGAUUGCUGGCAACAUUUUACUAAGCGUCUUGAUCUUAUGCCACCUAAAGCAAUCAGAUUGCUGGCAACAUUUUACUAAGCGUCUUGAUCUUAUGCCACCUAAAGUUGAGUGCAAGCAUUGUAAAACGAAGUUUUCAUGGGGUAAAGAUCAUGGAACAACAAACACGAACAACCAUAUAAAGCAAAGAAGAUGUCCUAACUUCUUUUGUGUUCACUGUUAACUAUUUUCUGUUCAUUGGCUUGGAACCAGACUUGUUGUUUCAUUUGAAUUAGUACUCUUUUGUGUGAACUGUCCUGUACUAAAAUUCUAGUUUGUAAACUUAUAUUUUUGUUUGUCAUA